rnacentral:lncRNA from 1 species
CCAGGUUCAAGUGAUUCUCCUGCCUCAGCAUUCAGAGUAGCUGGGACUACAGGUGUGCGCUACCACGCCCAGCUAAUUUUUGUAUUUUUAGUAGAGACAGGGUUUUAUCAUAUUGGCCAGGAUGGUCUUGAUCUCUUGACCUUGUGAUCCACCCACCUCGGCCUCCCAAAGUGCUGGGAUUAUGGAAGUGAGCCACUGCGCCCGGCCUUCUUUGUCUUUUUAAGCCCCAUCAAAGGCAUUCUUUAUUUCUGUUACAGUGUUUUUUAUUUCUAAAGUUUCCACUUGAUUCUCUUAGAGUUUUAUCUCUCUUCUUACAUUACCCAUCUCUUCUUGCAUGUUACUUCAUGCUAGUGUACACUGAGCCUCCACAAAUUCACCAAAAUUACUAUUUGAGAGUUCUUACUACUUUAGGCUUCAACAGCUUUUGCUCCAGGUAAGUAGAUCUUAACUGUGACUUCCUGGAUGCCCCUGGAUGCCCAGAUUUUGGAGUCACAGUUUGCCCUGCCAUGUCAGUUUUCUGAUGAGCCCAAGAAAAGUGAUGGAUUUUCAGUUUGUUCAGACAUUUCUUGCUAUAAGGAUGGGAGUGAUGACUUCCAAGCUCAUUACAUGUGAGAGCUGAGAUUGGAAGUGUCCUUAACCUCCUCUUUGAGACUUUAUUUUUCUAUAAAAAUGAGUAUGUUUAUAGUUACUUUGCAAUGUUGUUGCCAUGACUUUUAUGAGACAAUAAUCUAUGAGAAGGUAAUGUAAGGCCCUUAGCAGGUCACCAAUAAAGUGGGAUUCUGUACUGAAAUUUUAGAGAGAAUUCCAUUGUCAUAAAGUCAAUGGAGUCACAUGGAAUCAAGUACAGGUGUGCAACAAAAAUUAAGGAUACAGAAAAUAAACAAUUUCAAUAAUAGGGACAAUUCUGCCAUUAUUCCAUGUAGUGACCAUAUCUCCUAGGGUAAACAUGAUAUAGUAAAAUUAUAUGCUGUCAACUAGGAGAAAGAGGUAGUGGUGAGCUGGGAAGUGAGGGUGACAAGGAGGAAGAAGGAA